UUCUCCUUUCUGGCUCAGAAGGACAGCCCCAAGGCAGAGGCAUUAGGGUUUAACAAGGAUCUUUGUUAAACAAAGGGACUCCAGCUGUGAGUCAGCAAACCCUAGCAAAAAGCAUUUGCAAAUGAAAGUGUUUUUUUUUUCUUCUAACUCGGUCGGACAAAGCUAGCUAGGAAGUGUUAGAGGGACUGUGUUGCCAAGCAACCCUGAGCUGCAGCAUUUCAGGCACUGAACAGCAGAGGGGGCAACCAGCCUAAGAAAGCAGGUACAAUGAGUUCCAAGGAACAGGCAAGACUGGAUGCAGAGGGACAAAUCAAAGAAGCAGAUCACAAGCGAGGCAUUGAAGAAAACAAAAAGAAAUAGAAAUAAAAGAAAAGGAGAUAGAACUGAGAGAAAAGGAGGUGGAGAUAAGGGAAAGAAGAACACACCAAAGAGGCGGCCCACAAACAAGAGAUGGAAAAGCAACAGAGUGAAGAGAGGGAAAAACAGAGAAAGCAUGAACUGGAAUUAGCACAGGCUAAGCAGAAUGAUACAGCCAACCCUAACAACCCUUCUCCAGUUAUUGUUCCACAUCCCAAGAAAUUUCCCACUUACAAGACAGGUGAUGACACUGAGGCCUUCUUAGAAAAUUUUGGGUACAGCAUCUCUGAAGACCAGUACAUGAUAGAGCUGAGGCCACAGCUCAGUGGACCCUUAGCAGAGGUGGCGGCUGAAAUGCCUAAGGAACACAUGAACGAUUAUAAACUUUUUCAAACCAAGGCCAGAAUCAGAAUGGGGCUAACACCUGAGCAUCCCUGUCGGAGGUUCAGAGCCCUAAGGUGGAAACCAGAUGUGUCAUUCACUCGACACGCCUACCACAUUGGAAAGAAUUAUGAUGCCUGGAUAUCAGGAGCCAAUGUUAAAUCUCUGGACGAGAUGCACCUCCUAAUACAAUUGGAGCAGUUCUUAGAGGGUGUCCCUGAGGAAAUAGAAAGGUACAUCCUAGAUGGAAAGCCCAAAAUGGUAACCGAAGCAGGGGAGAUUGGAGCCUGAUGGGUGGAAGUGGCAGAAAAGAAAAAAGCUACUGUCAAGGGGAGCGAAUAUCACGGGGGCACACUGACAAUAAACCCUAUAUCCGAGGGCAACCCAAGACCCCACCUACAACCCAAGGAAAGCCCCAGACUCCCUAUUCUCCCACCUCACCAGUCUCUAGUAAUCCACCUCGGCACAGUGACCAGUCAGCUGGGAGAUGCUUUAAAUGUAAUGAACUGGGACAUAUAAAGGCCAACUGCCCAAAGAACCCCAACCGAGUGCAGUUUAUUACACCACCAUCACACCAAAGAUCCCCCGGCCCAGAUGCCUCUCAAAUACUCUCGGAGCGAAGGGAAAUUUUGAGAGUGGGCAGAAAGAAGGUUAUCACGUGGAGAGACACAGGGGCACAAGUGUCAGCUAUCCACCAAUCCUUCGUCGACCCCAAAUUCAUCAACCCAAAGGCCCAAGUGACAAUUUACCCCUUCAUGUCAAAAGCUGUAGACUUACCUACAGCUGAACUGCCUGUCCAGUACAAAGGCUGGUCAGGAAUGUGGACUUUUGCAGUCUAUGACAAUUAUUCCAUCCCCAUGCUACUGGGGGAAGACUUGGCCAACCAGGUAAAGCGGGCCAAGAGGGUGGGAAUGGUUACACGCAGCCAAGCCAGGCAAGCUUCCAGACCCAUCCCUGUUCCUGAACCAUCCACAAAGACCCCGUCUGUGUUACCAGAGACCCAGACAGAGGUGGUGGACCCUGAUCCCCUGCCAACAACGGCAACAGCCACAGUGCCUCCAGUCCCAGACCCAGAACUGGAAAAGCAACCAGCACCAGAACCGUUGCCAGCACUGAUGCCAGCGCUUGCAAACCCAUCUCCAACCCCAACGCCAGAGGGCACCAGCGGGCCUGAACUGGCAGAAGCAGCAGACAACCCUACCCAAGAGGCUCAGCCAGAGCCUGAAAUAGCGCAUAGUGCACCAGCGGAAAGCGGUUCACCAUCAACGAAAACAACCCCAUCACCUACAUCGCUUCCAGACGGACCAAGGCCAAGUCCACAGUCUAAGGAGGAACUGGUGUCUCCAGCCUCGAGGGAACAGUUCCAGACUGAGCAGGAAGCAGAUGACAGCUUUCAGAAAGCUUGGGCAGCAGCACGGAGCAUCCCACCGCCUCUUAGCUCUUCUAAUCGAUCCUGGUUUGUUGUAGAACAAGGACUUUUAUACAAAGAGACUCUUUCUGGUGGACACCAGGAAGACUGGCAUCCGCAAAAACAGUUGGUAGUUCCAACUAAGUACAGGGGGAAGCUCUUAAGCUUAGCCCAUUAUCACCCCAGUGGCCCAUGCUGGGGUGAACAGAACCAAAGACAGGUUGGGGAAGUCCUUCCACUGGGAGGGGAUGGGCAAGGACGUUGCCAAGUAUGUCCAGUCUUGUGAGGUGUGCUAAAGAGUGUGAAAGCCCCAAGAUCAGGUCAAGGCCCCUCUCCAGCCACUCCCCAUAAUUGAGGUCCCAUUUCAGCGAGUAGCUGUGGAUAUCUUGGGUCCUUUUCCAAAAAAGACCCCCAGAGGAAAGCAGUACAUACUGACUUUCAUGGACUUUGCUACCCAAUGGCCGGAAGCAGUAGCUCUAAGCAACACCAGGGCUAACACUGUAUGCCUGGCUCUAACAGACAUUUUUGCCAGGGUAGGCUGGCCCUCCAACAUCCUUACAAAUUCAGGAUCUAAUUUCCUGGCAGGAACCAUGAAAGAUCUGUGGGAAACUCAUGGGGUGAAUCACUUGGUUGCCACCCCUUACCACCAUCAAACCAAUGGCCUGGUGGAGAGGUUUAAUGGAACUUUGGGGGCCAUGAUACAUAAAUUCAUCAAUGAACACUCUAAUGACUGGGACCUAGUGUUGCAGCAGUUGCUGUUUGCCUACAGGGCUGUACCACAUCCCAGUUUAGGGUUUUCACCAUUUGAACUUGUGUAUGGCCACAAGGUUGAGGGGCCAUGACAGUUGGUGAAGCAGCAAUGGGAGGGGUUUACGCCUUCUCCAGGAACUAACAUUCUAGACUUUGUAAGCAACCUACAAAGCACCCUCCGACACUCUUUAGCCCUUGCUAAAGAAAACCUAAAGGAUGCUCAGAAAGAGCAAAAUGCCUGGUAUGAUAGAUAUACCAGAGAGCGUUCCUUCAAAGUAGGAGACUAGGUUAUGGUCUUGAAGGCGCAACAGGCCCAUAAGAUGGAAUCAUCAUGGGAAGGGCCAUUCACGGUCCAAGAGCGCCUGGGAGCUGUUAACUACCUCAUAGCAUUUCCCAAUUCCUCCCUAAAGCCCAGAGUGUACCAUGUUAAUUCUCUCAAGCCCUUUUAUUCCAGAGACUUAAAGGUUUGUCAGUUUACAGCCCAGGGAGGAGAUGACGCUGAGUGGCCUGAAGGUGUCCACUACGAAGGAAAAAGUGACAGUGGCGUGGAAGAGGUGAACCUCUCCACUACCCUGGAAUGUCUGCAGUGGCAACAGAUCAGGGAACUGUGCACUAGCUUCACCCCAUUGUUCUCAGCCACCCCAGGACGGACUGAACGGGCAUACCACUCCAUUGACACAGGUAAUGCUCACCCAAUUAGAACCCCACCCUACCAGGUAUCUCCUCAUGCCCAAGCUGCUAUAGAAUGGGAGAUCCAAAACAUGCUACAGAUCGGUAUAAUCCACUCAUCUACUAGUGCAUGGGCAUCCCCAGUGGUUCUGGUACCCAAACCAGAUGGGGAUAUAUGCUUUUGCGUGGACUACCGUAAGCUAAAUGCGGUAACUCGUCCAGACAACUAUCCAAUGCCACGCACCGAUGAGCUAUUGGAGAAGUUGGGAUGUGCCCAGUUCAUCUCUACAAUAGACUUAACCAAGGGGUACUGGCAAGUACUGCUAGAUGAACCUGCCAAGGAAAGGUCAACAUUCAUCCCCCACGCAGGGGUGUAUGAAUUUAAUGUGCUUCCUUUCGGGCUGCGAAAUGCACCCGCUACCUUCCAAAGACUUGUAGAUGGUCUCCUAGCAGGUUUGAGAGAAUAUGCAGUUGCCUACCUCGAUGAUGUGGCCAUUUUUUCUGAUUCAUGGCCCGAACACCUAGAACACCUGGAAAAAGUCUUCAAAUGCAUCAGGCAGGCAGGACUAACUGUUAAGGACAAAAAGUGUCAAAUAGGCCAAAACAGAAUGACUUACCUGGGAUACCAGGUGGGUCGAGGAACCAUAAACCCCCUACAGGCCAAGGUGGAUGCUAUCCAAAAGUGGCCUGUCCCAAGGUCAAAGAAACAGGUCCAAUCCUUCUUAGGCUUGGCCAGAUACUACAGGCGAUUUGUACCACACUACAGCCAAAUCGCUGCCCCACUGACCGACCUGACCAA